GCAGUGAUGACAUCCCAUCUCGAGCACGCGUUAGACUGCUGAUGUGGGUGAUGAGCCAACCAUGGC
ensembl:snoRNA